GAUGAACGCUGGCGGCGUGCCUAAUACAUGCAAGUCGAGCGAACAGACGAGGAGCUUGCUCCUCUGACGUUAGCGGCGGACGGGUGAGUAACACGUGGAUAACCUACCUAUAAGACUGGGAUAACUUCGGGAAACCGGAGCUAAUACCGGAUAACAUGUUGAACCGCAUGGUUCAACAGUGAAAGACGGUUUUGCUGUCACUUAUAGAUGGAUCCGCGCCGCAUUAGCUAGUUGGUAAGGUAACGGCUUACCAAGGCAACGAUGCGUAGCCGACCUGAGAGGGUGAUCGGCCACACUGGAACUGAGACACGGUCCAGACUCCUACGGGAGGCAGCAGUAGGGAAUCUUCCGCAAUGGGCGAAAGCCUGACGGAGCAACGCCGCGUGAGUGAAGAAGGUCUUCGGAUCGUAAAACUCUGUUAUUAGGGAAGAACAAAUGUGUAAGUAACUAUGCACGUCUUGACGGUACCUAGUCAGAAAGCCACGGCUAACCACGUG
rnacentral:rRNA from 1 species